GAUGAACGCUGGCGGCGUGCCUAAUACAUGCAAGUCGAGCGAACGGACGAGAAGCUUGCUUCUCUGAUGUUAGCGGCGGACGGGUGAGUAACACGUGGAUAACCUACCUAUAAGACUGGGAUAACUUCGGGAAACCGGAGCUAAUACCGGAUGAUAUUUUGAACCGCAUGGUUCAAAAGUGAAAGACGGUCUUGCUGUCACUUAUAGAUGGAUCCGCGCUGCAUUAGCUAGUUGGUAAGGUAACGGCUUACCAAGGCAACGAUGCAUAGCCGACCUGAGAGGGUGAUCGGCCACACUGGAACUGAGACACGGUCCAGACUCCUACGGAAGGCAGCAGUAGGGAAUCUUCCGCAAUGGGCGAAAGCCUGACGGAGCAACGCCGCGUGAGUGAUGAAGGUCUUCGGAUCGUAAAACUCUGUUAUUAGGGAAGAACAUAUGUGUAAGUAACUGUGCACAUCUUGACGGUACCUAAUCAGAAAGCCACGGCUAACUACGUG
rnacentral:rRNA from 1 species